AGCGAACGCUGGCGGCAGGCUUAACACAUGCAAGUCGAGCGGGCAUCCUUGUGGUGUCAGCGGCAGACGGGUGAGUAACGCGUGGGAACGUGCCCUUCGGUUCGGAAUAACUCAGGGAAACUUGAGCUAAUACCGGAUACGUGCGAGAGCAGAAAGGUUUAUUUGCCGAAGGAUCGGGCCGCGUCUGAUUAGCUAGUUGGUGAGGUUAUGGCUCACCAAGGCGACGAUCAGUAGCUGGUCUGCGAGGAUGAUCAGCCACACUGGGACUGAGACACGGCCCAGACUCCUACGGGAGGCAGCAGUGGGGAAUAUUGGACAAUGGGGGCAACCCUGAUCCAGCCAUGCCGCGUGAGUGAUGACGGCCUUAGGGUUGUAAAGCUCUUUUCUCCGGGACGAUAAUGACGGUACCGGAUGAAUAAGCCCCGGCUAACUUCGUG
rnacentral:rRNA from 1 species